UUCCUUCUAUGUCUGUUAAAUACAAAGCACCAUUGGGCAACACUCUUGUCACAACGAAUGGCCCCUGCCAGUUCGGGGCGAAGUUCCCUUUAGCCUCAACAUGAUGAGGAAGGAUACGUUUCAAUACCAUCUGGACCACUUCAAAUUUCCAAGGACGCACCUUUUUGUUAUAUGCUCGUGCCAUUCUCUUCUUAUUCAAUUGACCAUGACAUAUUGAAGCCAAUCUUUUCUCAUCAAUCAAACUCAACCGCUCAAGCCAGGUUUUAACCCACUCAUCGUCACCAAUUUCAGCUUCUGCAACGAUCCGAAGGGAAGGAAUCUCAACUUCCGCGGGUAUAACUGCCUCAGUUCCAUAUACCAGCAGAUAAGGAGUUGCGCCUACUGAAGUGCGGACAGUUGUGCGAUAACCUAGUAAUACAAAGGCAGCUUUUCAUGUCACUGCCUAGAACCUUGAACCAUCUUACGAAGUAUCUUUUUUAUGUUCUUAUUGGAAGCCUCAACAGCUC
rnacentral:lncRNA from 1 species